rnacentral:rRNA from 1 species
UACAGAGGCCUCGAGCGUUAGGCGGAAUCACUGGGCUUAAAGCGUGUGUAGGUGGAUGCCUAAGUACCUUGUGAAAUCCCACGGCUUAACUGUGGAACUGCUUGGUAUACUGGGUGUCUUGAGCCACUCAGGGGCUACCGGAACAAACGGUGGAGCGGUGAAAUGCGUAGAUAUCGGUUGGAACGCCAAUGGUGAAAACAGGUAGCUGGGGGUGUGCUGACACUGAGACACGAAAGCCAGGGGAGCAAACGGG